rnacentral:rRNA from 1 species
AAUGGACGAAAGUCUGACGGAGCAACGCCGCGUGAGUGAUGACGGCCUUCGGGUUGUAAAGCUCUGUUAAUCGGGACGAAAGGCCUUCUUGCGAAUAGUUAGAAGGAUUGACGGUACCGGAAUAGAAAGCCACGGCUAACUACGUGCCAGCAGCCGCGGUAAUACGUAGGUGGCAAGCGUUGUCCGGAAUUAUUGGGCGUAAAGCGCGCGCAGGCGGAUUGGUCAGUCUGUCUUAAAAGUUCGGGGCUUAACCCCGUGAUGGGAUGGAAACUGCCAAUCUAGAGUAUCGGAGAGGAAAGUGGAAUUCCUAGUGUAGCGGUGAAAUGCGUAGAUCUUAGGAAGAACACCAGUGGCGAAGGCGACUUUCUGGACGAAAACUGACGCUGAGGCGCGAAAGCCAGGGGAGCGAACGGGAUUAGAUACCCCGGUAGUCCUGGCCGUAAACGAUGGGUACUAGGUGUAGGAGGUAUCGACCCCUUCUGUGCCGGAGUUAACGCAAUAAGUACCCCGCCUGGGGAGUACGACCGCAAGGUUGAAACUCAAAGGAAUUGACGGGGGCCCGCACAAGCGGUGGAGUAUGUGGUUUAAUUCGACGCAACGCGAAGAACCUUACCAGGUCUUGACAUUGAUGGACAGAACUAGAGAUAGUUCCUCUUCUUCGGAAGCCAGAAAACAGGUGGUGCACGGUUGUCGUCAGCUCGUGUCGUGAGAUGUUGG